rnacentral:lncRNA from 1 species
UACUACGGGGCCGUGGAGGAGGAGAAGCCACAAUUUGAGGAAGAAGAAGGGCUUGAAGGUGAGAUCAGCUGGGGCACUGGGCUGGGGAUUGGGGACUGGGGACUGGGACUGAAGCCCAAGGUCCCACCCUGGCCCCACCUGUCUGUUCUCCCUGCAUCCAGACGACUGGAACUGGGACACGUGGGACGGGCCUGAGCAGGAGGGAGACUGGAGCCAGCAGGAGCUGCACUGUGAGGACCCCAACUUCAACAUGGACGCCGACUACGACCCCAGCCAGCCGAGGAAGAAAAAGCGCGAGGCCCCCUUGACGGGCAAGAAGAAGCGCAAGUCGCCCUUCGCCGCGGCCGUGGGGCAGGAGAAGCCCGUGUUUGAACCCGGUGAGGCCCAGGUGGGCAGGCCGUGGGUAGGCAGGGGGCACCGCGGGGCCUGGCAUAGCCCAGCAGCCUGGCUCUGUCUCGAGCAGGGGACAAGACGUUCGAGGAGUACCUGGAUGAGUAUUACCGGCUGGACUACGAGGACAUCAUCGACGACCUGCCCUGUCGCUUCAAGUACCGCACAGUGGUGCCCUGUGACUUUGGCCUCAGCACUGAGGAGAUCCUCGCUGCUGACGAUAAGGAGCUGAACCGGUGGUGCUC